UGCAAGUCGAGCGGUAGCACAGAGAGCUUGCUCUCGGGUGACGAGCGGCGGACGGGUGAGUAAUGUCUGGGAAACUGCCUGAUGGAGGGGGAUAACUACUGGAAACGGUAGCUAAUACCGCAUAACGUCGCAAGACCAAAGUGGGGGACCUUCGGGCCUCAUGCCAUCAGAUGUGCCCAGAUGGGAUUAGCUAGUAGGUGGGGUAACGGCUCACCUAGGCGACGAUCCCUAGCUGGUCUGAGAGGAUGACCAGCCACACUGGAACUGAGACACGGUCCAGACUCCUACGGGAGGCAGCAGUGGGGAAUAUUGCACAAUGGGCGCAAGCCUGAUGCAGCCAUGCCGCGUGUGUGAAGAAGGCCUUCGGGUUGUAAAGCACUUUCAGCGGGGAGGAAGGCGGUGAGGUUAAUAACCUUGGCGAUUGACGUUACCCGCAGAAGAAGCACCGGCUAACUCCGUGCCAGCAGCCGCGGUAAUACGGAGGGUGCAAGCGUUAAUCGGAAUUACUGGGCGUAAAGCGCACGCAGGCGGUCUGUCAAGUCGGAUGUGAAAUCCCCGGGCUCAACCUGGGAACUGCAUUCGAAACUGGCAGGCUAGAGUCUUGUAGAGUAGAAUUCCAGGUGUAGCGGUGAAAUGCGUAGAGAUCUGGAGGAAUACCGGUGGCGAAGGCGGCCCCCUGGACAAAGACUGACGCUCAGGUGCGAAAGCGUGGGGAGCAAACAGGAUUAGAUACCCUGGUAGUCCACGCCGUAAACGAUGUCGAUUUGGAGGUUGUGCCCUUGAGGCGUGGCUUCCGGAGCUAACGCGUUAAAUCGACCGCCUGGGGAGUACGGCCGCAAGGUUAAAACUCAAAUGAAUUGACGGGGGCCCGCACAAGCGGUGGAGCAUGUGGUUUAAUUCGAUGCAACGCGAAGAACCUUACCUGGUCUUGACAUCCACAGAACUUUCCAGAGAUGGAUUGGUGCCUUCGGGAACUGUGAGACAGGUGCUGCAUGGCUGUCGUCAGCUCGUGUUGUGAAAUGUUGGGUUAAGUCCCGCAACGAGCGCAACCCUUAUCCUUUGUUGCCAGCGGUUAGGCCGGGAACUCAAAGGAGACUGCCAGUGAUAAACUGGAGGAAGGUGGGGAUGACGUCAAGUCAUCAUGGCCCUUACGACCAGGGCUACACACGUGCUACAAUGGCAUAUACAAAGAGAAGCGACCUCGCGAGAGCAAGCGGACCUCAUAAAGUAUGUCGUAGUCCGGAUUGGAGUCUGCAACUCGACUCCAUGAAGUCGGAAUCGCUAGUAAUCGUAGAUCAGAAUGCUACGGUGAAUACGUUCCCGGGCCUUGUACACACCGCCCGUCACACCAUGGGAGUGGGUUGCAAAAGAAGUAGGUAGCUUAACCUUCGGGAGGGCGCCUUA
rnacentral:rRNA from 1 species